UCUCUAGGUUUAUAAUCUCCACCCCUCAUAGCCUGGUUCCUCCUCUAGGUUUAUAAUCUCCACCCCUCAUAGCCUGGUUCCUCUCUAGGUUUAUAAUCUCCACCCCUCAUAGCCUGGUUCCUCUCUAGGUUUAUAAUCUCCACCCCUCAUAGCCUGGUUCCUCUCUAGGUUUAUAAUCUCCACCCCUCAUAGCCUGGUUCCUCUCUAGGUUUAUAAUCUCCACCCCUCAUAGCCUGGUUCCUCCUCUAGGUUUAUAAUCUCCACCCCUCAUAGCCUGGUUCCUCUCUAGGUUUAUAAUCUCCACCCCUCAUAGCCUGGUUCCUCUCUAGGUUUAUAAUCUCCACCCCUCAUAGCCUGGUUCCUCUCUAGGUUUAUAAUCUCCACCCCUCAUAGCCUGGGUCCUCUCUAGGUUUAUAAUCUCCACCCCUCAUAGCCUGGUUCCUCUCUAGGUUUAUAAUCUCCACCCCUCAUAGCCUGGUUCCUCUCUAGGUUUAUAAUCUCCACCCCUCAUAGCCUGGUUCCUCUCUAGGUUUAUAAUCUCCACCCCUCAUAGCCUGGUUCCUCUCUAGGUUUAUAAUCUCCACCCCUCAUAGCCUGGUUCCUCUCUCGGUUUAUAAUCUCCACCCCUCAUAGCCUGGUUCCUCUCUAGGUUUAUAAUCUCCACCCCUCAUAGCCUGGUUCCUCUCUAGGUUUAUAAUCUCCACCCCUCAUAGCCUGGGUCCUCUCUAGGUUUAUAAUCUCCACCCCUCAUAGCCUGGUUCCUCUCUAGGUUUCUUCCUAGGUUCUGGCCUUU